rnacentral:rRNA from 1 species
AUUGAACGCUGGCGGCAGGCUUAACACAUGCAAGUCGAGCGGAGUGAUGGUGCUUGCACUAUCACUUAGCGGCGGACGGGUGAGUAAUGCUUAGGAAUCUGCCAUUUAGUGGGGGACAACAUUCCGAAAGGAAUGCUAAUACCGCAUACGUCCUACGGGAGAAAGCAGGGGAUCUUCGGACCUUGCGCUAGAUGAUGAGCCUAAGUCGGAUUAGCUAGUUGGUGGGGUAAAGGCCUACCAAGGCGACGAUCUGUAGCGGGUCUGAGAGGAUGACCCGCCACACUGGGACUGAGACACGGCCCAGACUCCUACGGGAGGCAGCAGUGGGGAAUAUUGGACAAUGGGCGGAAGCCUGAUCCAGCCAUGCCGCGUGUGUGAAGAAGGCCUUUUGGUUGUAAAGCACUUUAAGCGAGGAGGAGGCUCUCCUAGUUAAUACCUAGGAAGAGUGGACGUUACUCGCAGAAUAAGCACCGGCUAACUCUGUGCCAGCCGCCGCGGUAACAC